rnacentral:rRNA from 1 species
GACGAACGCUGGCGGCGUGCUUAACACAUGCAAGUCGAACGGAAAGGCCCUGCUUGCCGGGUGCUCGAGUGGCGAACGGGUGAGUAACACGUGGGUGAUCUGCCCCUUACUUUGUGAUAAGCCUGGGAAACUGGGUCUAAUACUGGAUAGGACCAUGCUGUAGGUGGUGUGGUGGAAAGAUUAGUUUCGGUAAGGGAUGAGCUCGCGGCCUAUCAGCUUGUUGGUGGGGUAAUGGCCUACCAAGGCGUCGACGGGUAGCCGGCCUGAGAGGGUGGACGGCCACAUUGGGACUGAGAUACGGCCCAGACUCCUACGGGAGGCAGCAGUGGGGAAUAUUGCACAAUGGGCGCAAGCCUGAUGCAGCGACGCCGCGUGGGGGAUGACGGCCUUCGGGUUGUAAACUCCUUUCAGCCAUGACGAAGCCCUUGUGGUGACGGUAGUGGUAGAAGAAGCACCGGCUAACUACGUG